CAUAUUACCGAAGCUGUGGAUUGUCCUUUGGACAAUGGUAGGAGAGCGUUCUAAGGGCGUUGAAGCAUGAUCGUAAGGACAUGUGGAGCGCUUAGAAGUGAGAAUGCCGGUGUGAGUAGCGAAAGACGGGUGAGAAUCCCGUCCACCGAUUGACUAAGGUUUCCAGAGGAAGGCUCGUCCGCUCUGGGUUAGUCGGGUCCUAAGCUGAGGCCGACAGGCGUAGGCGAUGGAUAACAGGUUGAUAUUCCUGUACCACCUAUAAUCGUUUUAAUCGAUGGGGGGACGCAGUAGGAUAGGCGAAGCGUGCGAUUGGAUUGCACGUCUAAGCAGUAAGGCUGAGUAUUAGGCAAAUCCGGUACUCGUUAAGGCUGAGCUGUGAUGGGGAGAAGACAUUGUGUCUUCGAGUCGUUGAUUUCACACUGCCGAGAAAAGCCUCUAGAUAGAAAAUAGGUGCCCGUACCGCAAACCGACACAGGUAGUCAAGAUGAGAAUUCUAAGGUGAGCGAGCGAACUCUCGUUAAGGAACUCGGCAAAAUGACCCCGUAACUUCGGGAGAAGGGGUGCUCUUUAGGGUUAACGCCCAGAAGAGCCGCAGUGAAUAGGCCCAAGCGACUGUUUAUCAAAAACACAGGUCUCUGCUAAACCGUAAGGUGAUGUAUAGGGGCUGACGCCUGCCCGGUGCUGGAAGGUUAAGAGGAGUGGUUAGCUUCUGCGAAGCUACGAAUCGAAGCCCCAGUAAACGGCGGCCGUAACUAUAACGGUCCUAAGGUAGCGAAAUUCCUUGUCGGGUAAGUUCCGACCCGCACGAAAGGCGUAACGAUUUGGGCACUGUCUCAACGAGAGACUCGGUGAAAUCAUAGUACCUGUGAAGAUGCAGGUUACCCGCGACAGGACGGAAAGACCCCGUGGAGCUUUACUGUAGCCUGAUAUUGAAAUUCGGCACAGCUUGUACAGGAUAGGUAGGAGCCUUUGAAACGUGAGCGCUAGCUUACGUGGAGGCGCUGGUGGG
rnacentral:rRNA from 1 species